GCCGAGCCCUAGCAGGAUCCGCAGGACGGGGCCUCCCUGCCUUGUUCUGGCUCUUCUCCCUCAGAGCCAUCCUGCCCCUGCCAGUCCUCCUCUCCACCGCUGACUCUUCUGUCCAUGCUUCAGCUGACUCCCCAGGACCAUAGUGACCCUCCUCUGGCCUCCUCUGUGUGGGCUCUGAGCUGGGCCCUCAAGGGUCACAGAGACAAACCAGACACUUGUGCAAACUCCGUGCUGAAGAGCACUGGACGCUUGGGUGCUAGACCCGUUCUGUAAUAAUUCACUGUCAGGCAUGGGGCAGGAGGCUCUCCUAACCUGGGCUUCCGGAUCAGCCCCCAGCUGCACAGAGAAGCCUUUGGCCACAUCAGGAUGAGAGAGGAUCCAGAAUCCACGGCAGAUCUGCUUAGACUCCUGCUGGUUCACAAGUUCGGUAUCACCUAGGAACCUGACAGAAAUGCCAUCCUGGACCCAAUCCUAGAUGCACGGAAUCAGAAUCUGCAU